rnacentral:rRNA from 1 species
CCCUUAGAUGUCCUGGGCCGCACGCGCGCUACACUGAGUGUCUGAGAUACGAGUCUGCCUGGUCCGGCAAGGUCUAGGUAAUCGCUAAAAGACACAUCAUGCUUGGGAUAGAUUAUUGCAAAUAUUAAUCUUGAACGAGGAAUUCCUAGUAAACGCGAGUCAUCAGCUCGCAUUGAUUACGUCCCUGCCCUUUGUACACACCGCCCGUCGCACCUACCGAUUGAAUGUUUCGGUGAAGAUUCCGGAUAGGACUUUUUUGAUUUAUUUCAAUUUUGUCUUAAAAGCUAUCUAAACCUCAACAUUUAGAGGAAGGUGAAGUCGUAACA